rnacentral:rRNA from 1 species
AUGCAAGUCGCACGGUCAGCAAUGGCAGUGGCGGACGGGUGAGUAACACGUAGGAAUCUAUCCCAGGGUGGGGGACAACAGCGGGAAACUGCUGCUAAUACCGCAUGAUACCUGAGGGUCAAAGGCGCAAGUCGCCUUGGGAGGAGCCUGCGUCUGAUUAGCUUGUUGGUGAGGUAAAGGCUCACCAAGGCUACGAUCAGUAGCUGGUCUGAGAGGAUGAUCAGCCACAUUGGGACUGAGACACGGCCCAAACUCCUACGGGAGGCAGCAGUGGGGAAUAUUGGACAAUGGGCGAAAGCCUGAUCCAGCAAUGCCGCGUGUGUGAAGAAGGUCUUCGGAUUGUNAAGCACUUUUGGCAGGGACGAUGAUGACGGUACCUGCAGAAUAAGCCCCCGGCUACUUCGUG